CGGGGGAGCAAGCGUUGUUCGGAUUACUGGGCGUAAAGGGCGCGUAGGCGGCCACUGCAAGUCGGUUGUGAAAUCUCCGGGCUUAACCCGGAAAGGUCAAUCGAUACUGCAGGGCUAGAGUGCAGAAGGGGCAACUGGAAUUCUCGGUGUAGCGGUGAAAUGCGUAGAUAUCGAGAGGAACACCUGCGGCGAAGGCGGGUUGCUGGGCUGACACUGACGCUGACAGCGCGAAAGCUAGGGGAGCGAACGGGAUUAGAUACCCCGGUAGUCCUAGCCUUAAACGAUGAAUGCUUGGUGUCUGGGGUUUUAUAGUCCCCGGGUGCCGUCGCUAACGCUUUAAGCAUUCCGCCUGGGGAGUACGGUCGCAAGACUG
rnacentral:rRNA from 1 species